rnacentral:rRNA from 1 species
GACGAACGCUGGCGGCGUGCUUAACACAUGCAAGUCGAGCGGAGCGGCUAACGGGUGAGUAACGCGUAAUCAACCUGCCCUUCAGAGGGGGACAACAGUUGGAAACGAUUUCUAAUACCGCAUACUGCAGGAGGGGAUUGCGUCUGAUUAGCUAGUUGGAGGGGUAACGGCUCACCAAGGCGAUGAUCAGUAGCCGAUGGGGGAGGAUGAACGGCAACUUUGGGACUGAGACGCGGCCCAGAAUCCUACGGGAGGCAGCAGUGGGAAAUCUUCCGAAAUGGACGAAAGUCUGACGGAGCAACGCCGCGUGAGUGAUGACGGCCUUCGGGUUGUAAAGCUCUGUUAAUCGGGACGCGGUACCGGAAUAGAAAGCCACGGCUAACGACGUGCCAGCCGCCGCGGUAAUUC